rnacentral:rRNA from 1 species
GAUGAACGCUGGCGGCGUGCCUAAUACAUGCAGGUCGAGCGAACGGACGAGAAGCUUGCUUCUCUGAUGUUAGCGGCGGACGGGUGAGUAACACGUGGAUAACCUACCUAUAAGACUGGGAUAACUUCGGGAAACCGGAGCUAAUACCGGAUAAUAUUUUGAACCGCAUGGUUCAAAAGUGAAAGACGGUCUUGCUGUCACUUAUAGAUGGAUCCGCGCUGCAUUAGCUAGUUGGUAAGGUAACGGCUUACCAAGGCAACGAUGCUUAGACGACCUGAGAGGCUGAUCGCCCACCCUGGAACUGGGCCACGGUCCAGCCUCCUACGGGAGGCAGCAGUAGGGAAUCUUCCGCAAUGGGCGAAAGCCUGACGGAGCAACGCCGCGUGAGUGAUGAAGGUCUUCGGAUCGUAAAACUCUGUUAUUAGGGAAGAACAUAUGUGUAAGUAACUGUGCACAUCUUGACGGUACCUAAUCAGAAAGCCACGGCUAACUACGUG